GGAGAAGGAGCAGCCGGCACAGCUGCCAGCCCUUCCCGUUGGGUUUCCAGGCAGGAGUAAAACAAUGGCUGCUGAGAUAUGUUACAUGGAAUGGGAACCUGGACUACCUCUUGCACAAAGCUGCUGAGGAAAAGCAUACGACUUAGAGAUGCUUCCAAGUUUUCAUACGGCAUUUUGUGAAAUUUCUGGAGCAGGAAGUCAAAAACACCACUGCCAACUCCGCAGCCAUGGGGUGCGCUCCCAAGAUAGUCUGACAGUCUCGUUGUUCCAUUCACAACGUUGGGAUUAUGGGAUUCCUCUGGGAAGGACUGACUUGAUGCUAAGUGCCCUCUCGAAGUUCCAUUGUUUCCCCACAGAAACAGGUACCACUGAGAACAUCUCAGUUGUAAGGCUUCCUCCUUCACUCUCCCUCAGUGAUGCAGUACAGUACCCUCAUUCACACUGUGCUGAGUGAAGUGAGGGAUUUCUUUGUUCACAAGGCUGUGACAUCCACGCUCAGGCAGACACAAGCCAGGAUUAUUUGGCUGAAUGGAGCUACAGCUUAGGAUGGAAGUACUGAUCAGCAAAAGCACUGAGGAGUGCCUCUUAGAGCAUGAAAAAUUAGAAAAAACAAAACCUUGUCCCCAAAUCAUACUCAGACUCACCAGCAGCCUCUGCAGCACAGAUCAUUAUCAAAAGCUCCUCACUUAUAAGCAAACAACUGCAUAUUGCAUUCACUCCAUUUCCAAGUGCCCUCAAAACCUGCUGUAGAUAGAUUACUGUAGCUCCACUGAUAAAUAGUGCAGACUUUUCCUAUUUCUCCAAACUGAUGCACCACCUCUUUUUUUUUCUUUCUUUUUUUUUUUUAAACACUUUUUAUGAUUCACAUUCUCCCCUUAGUCACAGCAGUAAACACCUAAUGUCACUGGGCUUACAGAGAUCCACUGCUCUGAAAUGCUCCCCUGGCAGCUGAGCUGGGUUGCCAGGGUUGCUGUCAGCAGCUAGCCCUGGGAUAGAUGCAGUAUUACUGGCUUCAGAGCCAUUGGCAGCACACUGAAUGACUCAGUAUAGUCAAGAGCCUCAGCUACCACAACAAAUCUGCGUGGUCAGCAAUGCCCUCAGAUGCUGAGAGGUCACAACACUGGGGAGGCAGGAGAGGAGCAGCUCCAACAGCUCGCGCUGGAGACGCAGCAGGGAAUCUGGUUGAGGCCAGUGCUGCUGAUUCCCCCCCCUUCUACUUGGUGUAAGCAAGCAGAAAGACAUUUACUGUUUGUCAAUGUAUUCUUUUCGUUAGUUAAAAUAAAAUUCUGAGUGCC
rnacentral:lncRNA from 1 species